rnacentral:rRNA from 1 species
UAUAAAAUAAUUUUUUAAAAUAAAAAAAUUUAAUAAAAGAUAUUUAUAUUAUAAUAUCAUAUUUUUACCUUUUGUAUAAGUGUUUUUCGAAAAAUAUUUAAUUUUUAACUUCCCGAAGGCAAUUGAUAAAAUAUACUAAAUUUUUUUUACGUAGCAUAGUAAAAAAAUUUAAGUAUAUUAGUAAUGAAAAAUUUUUCAAUGUUGCGGAUAUCUGGAUUUUUUUUAAAAGUAUUUAGUACUUAAAUCAUAUAAAAGGUGUUACGAUCUUUUAUAAAAUGAAAAUUAUAUUAAUUAUAAAAUAUUUUUAAAUAAAAUUAAUAUAAUGUCAUAAUAUUAUUAUUAAUAAAUAUAUGAUUCUAUUUUUAAAAAAAUUUAAAAUUUAAUUUUUUUUAUUUUAUUGUUUAUGAAAAAAUUAGUAUUUUUUUAAAAAACUUUUAAGGAACUCGGCAAAUAUAGAUUUCAAUAGUUUAUCAAAAACAUAGUUUUAUGAAAUUCAUAUAAAAUAUUUUCUGCCCAAUGUUUAAAAAUAAAUGGCCGCAGUACUUUGACUGUGCUAAGGUAGCAUAAUCAAUUGGCUUUUAAUUGAAGUCUGGAAUGAAUGGGAUAAUGGAAUUUAGCUGUCUUAAAAUUUUUAAAUAAAACUUAUUUAUAAGGUGAAAAUACCUUAUAAUAUAAUAAAGACGAGAAGACCCUAUGAAUUUAUUUAUAUAUUUUGUUGGGGCGACAGUUUAAAAUAUUAAUCUUAAAUUAUUAUAUAUAACGAUUAUAUUAAUUAAAAAAAAAUUACCUUAGGGAUAACAGCAUUAUUAUUUAAAUAGUUUGUGACCUCGAUGUUGGACUAGGAACUAUAAGGCUAACCGUCUUAAUAGAUUUGUUCUGUUCGAACAAUUUUAUCCUACAUGAUCUGAGUUCAGACCGGCGUAAGCCAGGUCAGUUUCUAUCUUAUUUUAUAUUGAUUGUAGUACGAAAGGACCUAAUUAAAUUUAU